CCUACGGGGGGCAGCAGUGGGGAAUAUUGGACAAUGGGGGCAACCCUGAUCCAGCCAUGCCGCGUGUGUGAAGAAGGCCCUCGGGUUGUAAAGCACUUUCAGUGAGGAAGAACGCCUGGUGGUUAAUACCCAUCAGGAAAGACAUCACUCACAGAAGAAGCACCGGCUAACUCCGUGCCAGCAGCCGCGGUAAUACGGAGGGUGCGAGCGUUAAUCGGAAUUACUGAGCGUAAAGCGCGCGUAGGUGGCUUGAUAAGCCGGUUGUGAAAGCCCCGGGCUCAACCUGGGAACGGCAUCCGGAACUGUCAAGCUAGAGUGCAGGAGAGGAAGGUAGAAUUCCCGGUGUAGCGGUGAAAUGCGUAGAGAUCGGGAGGAAUACCAGUGGCGAAGGCGGCCUUCUGGACUGACACUGACACUGAGGUGCGAAAGCGUGGGUAGCAAACAGGAUUAGAUACCCGAGUAGUC
rnacentral:rRNA from 1 species